rnacentral:rRNA from 1 species
CGCUUUUGUAGCGCGUGGUGUGGCUGCGUUUUUGUCCCGUCUUGGGUGCAGGAGGUGGAAGAGGGACUGGGUUAGAGGUAGAGGUAGAGGUCUGGAGAGAGGGUUAGAGCUUGAUGGGCCGCAGGGAGGGACCGAGGGAGGGCGCUCAGGCACUGGUGGGUUGCCGCCGGGUAGAGAGGGCGUCGUUGGUGGCGUGGCCGGUGGGCGGGUAGAGGAGGAGGAGAGUGAGCGCAGCAUCGUGGUACGCGGCGUGGACGGCGCCGUUUCCCCCGGUCGGCGACGGUGGGGUGAGGCAACACAUACUCUUUCGUGCCGUGGUGGCGGAGGGAUCCAGCGCUGGACAUCGCCAAGCCGAUGGGGCCGUGUCGGCAGACGACCGGGUCGCUCCUCCUGCGAAACUUAGACCCUGGACGUCGUAACCUAUCUCCUAUCAAUGUAGAUGUCAACCAGGCGCUCGUACCGUUCCGUACACGUAGAGUAGGAGAAGAGACGUGUGAGUGCGAAAAGUUGUAAACACACGGACUAACGUACAAUCGGAGAACACUGUCGGCUGUCGCUGCUACUUUAUUACGUAACCGGGUAACGGACUACUUCUUCUACUCUCUUCACUUCUAAUACAUGCUACUUUAUAAUGUCUAGUACAUGUACAUUGGGACAAGUAAAGUUACUAUAAAAUCAAGAACACUAAACCGCUAAAAUUUAGUAUAAUCUGGUUAUAAGAUAUAAAAAAACUUAUAUCUUGUACCCUUUGUAAAGGGAAUUUAUAUAACGGAAUGAAAAGUUAUUAAUAUUCUAUACAGUGUAACCAACAAAGGAAACAAAACUCGUUUGUGAUCAAGUUUUACUAAUUAGAUCUGUGACCAAUUGUACUAAAUCCGAACCGUGGAAUCGUAUAUAGGUUCCAGGUUUGAGCCUACGAUGUGUUCCUAAAGAAUACGCUUCCAAUCGAAGUCGUCUUGUUAUUAUAACUACUACUGCUACUACUCGAUCUCUUCGCUACGUGUCCCAUUGGUAGGACGGUGGUGGUCCCUCGAGAACCAACUGACGUUAGUCGCUCCGGAACAGUUGAACGACUAUGGUGAAUUAGAGAUACCGGAGAGUAACGAGUUCUACCUAUCAAAACACGUCCCUGCCUCAAACCAAAGUACGUAGAACGUUGUUUCGAAGGUCAGCCCGUAGGACGAAGUGUAAACCGUUUCCACGAAGGUACCAAAGAGGCCAGAGAGUUCGCGUCGUAUUGGACGAACGUACUCAAAAAGGGACGACGAGCGCGAUGGGGAUACAUGUUGUUGUUACAAGGCUACUAGAGAGGACGACUGUGACUAGAGGGUAGAGGAGUAGAAUACGCGGUAGAGACACGACCAACUAGUCACCGUGAUCUGCAACUACGAGUGCGGCAACAGUCUUCGCGUGACUCGAUGAGUUGGACCAGAAAAUCACUCACCUUUUCGGUUCAAUCACGUACAAGCUCAACAGGUGAACGUAAUAAUUUACCCACCGUCAAGUUCCAAAGUUAAAGAUAGUGUGAAACACUGCGAAGGAAGCCUAAAGAAAACUACUUAAUGGAAAAGUGAGGCUCCACACUGACCAGUGAGUGACAGUCCUGGCUGUUUCACGUAUGACUUCUACUGCUCCCCUACCCGAUCCGGUUACACAUAUAAAAAAUUAACCAUAGAGGCGCUAUAAUUAUAUAAAGGGAACAGCUUUUUUUAUAUACAGAAAGAUCUCUAAAGUUAUAUCUGAUGUAUGCCUACAUAUAUCUCAAUAUCUGCAUAAAAUGUCACAUCUAAGUGGGUAAAACGAGGCGUACAUCUGGUAUAACUUUAGAGAUUUUUUUGAAUACAAAUCUUUGCCUCCCUCAUUAAAAGUUAGAGUGGGCGGGGAAGAGACUUGAGAGGACAAGAAGGGAUAGAUGAAGGUUUAAGA